CUCGGCAACGGAUAUCUCGGCUCUCGCAUCGAUGAAGAACGUAGCAAAAUGCGAUACCUGGUGUGAAUUGCAGAAUCCCGUGAACCAUCAAGUUUUUGAACGCAAGUUGCGCCCGAGGCCUUCUGGUCGAGGGCACGUCUGCCUGGGCGUCACGCCAAAAGACA
rnacentral:rRNA from 14 species